GAUGAAGAACGCAGCGAAAUGCGAUACGUAAUGUGAAUUGCAGAUUUCAGUGAAUCAUCGAAUCUCUGAACGCACAUUGCGCCCGCUAGUAUUCUGGCGGGCAUGCCUGUUCGAGCGUCAUUUCAACCAUCAAGCCCUAGGCUUGCGUUGGAGCCCUGCGGCUGCCGCAGGCUCCCAAAUCCAGUGGCGGGCUCGUCGUCGUACCGAGUGCAGUAAACAUCCUCGCUCAGGGAACGUGACGGGUUCUUGGCGUGAAACCCCCCACAUAUCAAGGUUACCUCGGAUCAGGUAGGAAUACCCGCUGAACUUAAGCAUAUCAAUAAGCGGAGGA
rnacentral:misc_RNA from 1 species